rnacentral:rRNA from 1 species
UACGUAGGGUGCGAGCGUUGUCCGGAAUUAUUGGGCGUAAAGAGCUCGUAGGCGGUUUGUCACGUCUGCUGUGAAAUCCCGAGGCUCAACCUCGGGCCUGCAGUGGGUACGGGCAGACUGGAGUGCGGUAGGGGAGAAUGGAAUUCCUGGUGUAGCGGUGAAAUGCGCAGAUAUCAGGAGGAACACCGGUGGCGAAGGCGGCUUUCUGGGCCUUACCUGACGCUGAGGAGCGAAAGCUGGGGGAGCGAACAGG